rnacentral:tRNA from 1 species
AGCCUAUUAGCUCAAUUGGUAGAGCGGUGUGCAAUUACAUAAUGAUGUGGGUUCGAAUCCUACAUAGGCUA